rnacentral:misc_RNA from 1 species
GAUGAAGAACGCAGCGAAAUGCGAUAACUAAUGUGAAUUGCAGAAUUCAGUGAAUCAUCGAGUCUUUGAACGCACAUUGCGCCCCCUGGUAUUCCGGGGGGCAUGCCUGUCCGAGCGUCAUUGCUGCCCUCAAGCCCGGCUUGUGUGUUGGGCCCCGUCCCCCCGGGGACACGCCCCAAAGGCAGUGGCGGCGCCGCGUCGGGUCCUCGAGCGUAUGGGGCUUUGUCACCCGCUCGGGACGGACUCGUCGGCGCUGGUCUUCCUCCAGGCGACCCUUCGGGGCUCGUCUUCCUUCGGUUGACCUCGGAUCAGGUAGGGUUACCCGCUGAACUUAAGCAUAUCAAUAAGCGGAGGA